UACGUAGGGGGCAAGCGUUGUCCGGAUUUAUUGGGCGUAAAGAGCGUGUAGGCGGCUAGGUAGGUCCGUUGUGAAAACUCGGAGCUCAACCUCGAGACGCCGGUGGAAACCAUCUAGCUAGAGUCCGGAAGAGGAGAGUGGAAUUCCUGGUGUAGCGGUGAAAUGCGCAGAUAUCGGGAGGAACACCAAUGGCGAAGGCAGCUCGCUGGGACGUAACUGACGCUGAGACGCGAAAGCGUGGGGAGCAAACAGGG
rnacentral:rRNA from 1 species